rnacentral:tRNA from 1 species
AAAAAGAUAAGCUAAAGAAGCUACUGGGUUCAUACCCCACGCAUAAAGGUUUUACCCCUUUUCUUUUUA